rnacentral:ncRNA from 1 species
UUCCGCGCACGCGACUGGCGAUAAGCGAGAGUCAUCCUUCGGAGCUCGGCGCUGAAGUGGAAUACCACUGGGAAGCGUGCCGCUCCCUGCGCCGACCGGCAUGCGGAGCGAUCAGCCGUUCGCCUGGGCAGCCCUU